rnacentral:rRNA from 1 species
AACGAACGCUGGCGGCAGGCUUAACACAUGCAAGUCGAGCGCCCCGCAAGGGGAGCGGCAGACGGGUGAGUAACGCGUGGGGAUCUGCCUAGUGGUACGGAACAACACGGGGAAACUCGUGCUAAUACCGUAUAAGUCCUUCGGGAGAAAGAUUUAUCGCCAUUAGAUGAACCCGCGUCUGAUUAGCUAGUUGGUGAGGUAACGGCUCACCAAGGCGACGAUCAGUAGCUGGUCUGAGAGGAUGAUCAGCCACACGGGGACUGAGACACGGCCCCGACUCCUACGGGAGGCAGCAGUGGGGAAUAUUGGACAAUGGGCGCAAGCCUGAUCCAGCCAUGCCGCGUGAGUGAUGAAGGCCUUAGGGUUGUAAAGCUCUUUCGCUAGGGAAGAUAAUGACGGUACCUAGAUAAGAAGCCCCGGCUAACUUCGUGCCAGCCGCCGCGGUAAAAC